rnacentral:rRNA from 1 species
GACGAACGCUGGCGGCGUGCUUAACACAUGCAAGUCGAGCGGAAAGGCCCUGCCUUUGUGGGGUGCUCGAGUGGCGAACGGGUGAGUAACACGUGAGUAACCUGCCCUUGACUUUGGGAUAACUCCAGGAAACUGGGGCUAAUACCGGAUAGGAGCUCCUGCUGCAUGGUGGGGGUUGGAAAGUUUCGGCGGUUGGGGAUGGACUCGCGGCUUAUCAGCUUGUUGGUGGGGUAGUGGCUUACCAAGGCUUUGACGGGUAGCCGGCCUGAGAGGGUGACCGGCCACAUUGGGACUGAGAUACGGCCCAGACUCCUACGGGAGGCAGCAGUGGGGAAUAUUGCACAAUGGGCGGAAGCCUGAUGCAGCAACGCCGCGUGCGGGAUGACGGCCUUCGGGUUGUAAACCGCUUUCGCCUGUGACGAAGCGUGAGUGACGGUAAUGGGUAAAGAAGCACCGGCUAACUACGUG